GAGAAGAAAGGAAAGGAUACACGAAUAUCGAAAAUGAUGCUGUUUUAAGGUGACUCAAUUGUUUUUUGUGCGUGGACAUAAAAUUUUAAAAAGAGUUCUUCCGGUGAAAAAUAUAUAAACCUGGGUAAAAGAUAAAAAUACACACAGACUUAUCUGAUUUAGAUAACAUCAACUGCUUGGUUAAACUUGUGAAGAAAAUCUUCAAUAAUAUUGAUGGCUUCCACUAAGACACGGGUUGCACUUCUGGUUAUUGUCGCUCUGUAUGCAUAUCUAACAAGUAAAACAGACGCCCAUUUACAAAUAGGAAGAAAGGAAUUCAAACCAGUCAGACAAGAACUUAGAGAAUUGCUUCAAGACCAAAUGCAUCCCGUCUUCAGGAGUAACACGAACAGGCUGAAACCAGGACAAAAAUGGGAGUCUACAAUUGAAGAAAUUCCAGAGUUGUACAAACAGGGAACACUAGAAGACUAGGCAGUCAAUCUACUGUUUACAAUACAUAGGCGAGACACAACUAAGACUCAACAGGUGACCAGUUAACAGACCCACCCCAUCCUCCUAGCGUUUUAAAGAGCUAUUAUGAACCUUUAUUUUAGAAAAUGGUAAAACAUCCCAUUACAUGUACGAUACAACACUAACAAUGCAAAGUUUGAUUUUAUAAUUGCACACAUAAAUAGGUAAACGAAGACAACCUAACUAAAUAACAGAAAGUUAUAUAGGUUUAACUGCUCUCAAGCCAGAGAUAAUGAGAGUUAUAAAUGAUAAAAUUAGAAAACCUUUAUAUACCCUCGGCCUUUAAUCCACAUACAGGCCUUAUUCCCAAGGUAAUCACUUGUACCCAGUCCUUCCGUGGAUGUUACCGCCGAUAUUAUGGAUAUGGAUAUUUUUCGUGUAAGGUGAAAAUGCGUGUGAAAUCCGUGUCACGGGCUUGGAUUUCCGAAACCGAGAUUGAUCUAAGGUAAAUUUAAAAGAGGUUACCUUGGGAAUCAGAUUUAUAUACUCCUCGUGCUCUCCUUGUCUCCAGACUGUGAGUGAUUAUUGCUUUACACGGUAUACAAGUGUCUUUCCUGACUUUGCGUCGUAGAAAUGAUAAUAGCUUGUGAAUCCGUGCUUAAAAUAUAUAUUUACUUGUUUUGUUCUCUAAUGUAAAUAAUAAAGAUUUCAUUUUUACCCGUA